UCUUUUACUGAUGUUUAAAAGGCUACAUAGAAAAUGUGAAUUAUUUUGAUGACAACAGGAACUUUGUAAACGAGGUCUCUGGUGUAAAUCCGCCUGUGUUGUGAUCUGUCCAGAGUCAAGAAAGUUCUUCACACCGACACCAACAACAUGAAGAUGGAGGUAGUGAGAACAACACUGCUGAAAAUGUCCAGGAGACAAAAUGAUUUUCAAAAAAUAAACAGAAAACAGUGGCAUGAAGAUAAUAAAUUUUAACAUGUCAGAGAAUCUCAAAAGAUGCCAACAAGGACAGUUUUUGAAAAUGCUCACAACCUGGAAGGAAGCUGGAAAC